ACGCACGCUGGCGGCGUGCUUAACACCUGCAAGUCGAACGGAAAGGCCCUGCUUUUGUGGGGUGCUCGAGUGGCGAACGGGUGAGUAACACGUGAGUAACCUGCCCUUGACUUUGGGAUAACUUCAGGAAACUGGGGCUAAUACCGGAUAGGAGCUCCUGCUGCAUGGUGGGGGUUGGAAAGUUUCGGCGGUUGGGGAUGGACUCGCGGCUUAUCAGCUUGUUGGUGGGGUAGUGGCUUACCAAGGCUUUGACGGGUAGCCGGCCUGAGAGGGUGACCGGCCACAUUGGGACUGAGGUACGGCCCAGACUCCUACGGGAGGCAGCAGUGGGGAAUAUUGCACAAUGGGCGGAAGCCUGAUGCAGCAACGCCGCGUGCGGGAUGACGGCCUUCGGGUUGUAAACCGCUUUCGCCUGUGACGAAGCGUGAGUGACGGUAAUGGGUAAAGAAGCACCGGCUAACUACGUG
rnacentral:rRNA from 1 species